ensembl:misc_RNA Metazoa_SRP Metazoan signal recognition particle RNA
GCUGGGCAUGGAGGCUCGUGCCUGUAAUCCCAGCGCCUUUGGGAAGCUGAGGCAGGAGAAUUGCUUGUGCCCAGGAGUUCAAGACCAGCCUGGGCAACAUAGUGAGACUCUGUCUCUA